AGCAGCCGCGGUAAUUCCAGCUCCAAUAGCGUAUAUUCAAGUUGUUGCAGCUAAAAAGCUCGUAGUUGAAUUUUGGAUCUGGUCAAGUGGUUUGGGCGCAAGCUCAACACUACUUUGGCUGGGUCUAUUUCUUUUGGGGAAUUAAAGUGCUAUUUAUUUAGUGCUUUAGGGAACCAAAACUGUUACUUUGAAAAAAUUAGAGUGUUUAAAACAGGCUUAUGCUUGAAUACAUUAGCAUGGAAUAACGGAAUAGGACUUUGUUUCUAUUUUGUUGGUUUGAGAAAUGAAGUAAUGAUUAAUAGGGACAGUUGGGGGCAUUAGUAUUCCAUUGUCAGAGGUGAAAUUCUUGGAUUUAUGAAAGACUAACUUCUGCGAAAGCAUUUGCCAAGGAUGUUUUCAUUAAUCAAGAACGAAAGUUAGGGGAUCGAAGACGAUCAGAUACCGUCGUAGUCUUAACCAUAAACUAUGCCGACUAGGGAUCGGACAAUGUUACAUUAUUGACUUGUUCGGCACCUUAUGAGAAAUCAAAGUUUUUGGGUUCCGGGGGGAGUAUGGUCGCAAGGCUGAAACUUAAAGGAAUUGACGGAAGGGCACCACCAGGAGUGGAGCCUGCGGCUUAAUUUGACUCAACACG
rnacentral:rRNA from 1 species